UACGUAGGGGGCUAGCGUUGUCCGGAAUCAUUGGGCGUAAAGCGCGUGUAGGCGGUCCGGUAAGUCCGCUGUGAAAGUCGGGGGCUCAACCCUCGGAUGCCGGUGGAUACUGUCGGGCUUGAGUACGGAAGAGGCGAGUGGAAUUCCUGGUGUAGCGGUGAAAUGCGCAGAUAUUAGGAGGAACACCAAUUGCGAAGGGAGCUCGGUGGGACGUUACUGAAGCUGGAGCGGGGAAGGGUGGGGAGCAAACAGG
rnacentral:rRNA from 1 species